AUCCAGCUGACGAAUCCCAAAUAAGAUGAGAUGUGUGUCCUGGAU
rnacentral:hammerhead_ribozyme from 1 species